CCCACCCUUUAUUUUCUUUUGCUCACUCUCACUUUUCUCUGCUUUUCUUUUUCUUUUCCCUACUUCUCUCUUUCUCUAUCUCUCUAUCUCUCUAACACACACACACACACGGAUGUACAUGUUGUCAAUAGCUGUUUUGUCUGUCAGAAUGUGUUCCUUGUUGGCCAUGCCACUGAGACUAAUCAUUAAUGUGACCUAAGGCCUCCCCUUCCUCACACACUACACUAUACACACACUACACUAUAUACACACACACACACAUGCUUACACACAUGAGCCAUGUAGACACAUGUAGACACAGAUAUUGUCAUUGUAAUGCAAAAAUAUUGCAUUUCAAAAAUGGUAGCUUUACAGCAAAGGGAAAAAUAUUUUAUCGAUCAAUUAGGACUGUGAGAAAAACAGCAUUUUAGUUUUUAUUGCCAUUUUACUAUAUACACAACGAUAGAGCUGUGUUAAUAUGGUGAAUAACAGCAAAUUGAUUCAUCUGACAUAACAGGACCGGAGAAAGACCAAAGUAGAACAAGGCAAAGCGAGGUAGACUGAGAAAGAGUGAGGUAAAGAAUGAGAAAGAGUGAGGUAAAGAAUGAGUAAGAGUGAGGUAAAGAAUGAGUAAGAGUGAGGUAAAGAAUGAGUAAGAGUGAGGUAAAGAAUGAGUAAGAGUGAGGUAAAGAAUGAGUAAGAGUGAGGUAAAGAAUGAGUAAGAGUGAGGUAAAGAAUGAGAAAGAGUGAGGUAAAGAAUGAGAAAGAGUGAGGUAAAGAAUGAGAAAGAGUGAGGUAAAGAAUGAGAAAGAGUGAGGUAAAGAAUGAGUAAGAGUGAGGUAAAGAAUGAGAAAGAGUGAGGUAAAGAAUGAGUAAGAGUGAGGUAAAGAAUGAGUAAGAGUGAGGUAAAGAAUGAGAAAGAGUGAGGUAAAGAAUGAGAAAGAGUGAGGUAAAGAAUGAGUAAGAGUGAGGUAAAGUGACUUGGACGGGGUAAGAGGGGUGGGAAUCUCUAGGCAACUUGCGAUUGGAUUCCAAUUCAGAGGCCUGCGAUGCGAAUAUAAAC